UGGCAUAUAAUAUAAUCUAGUGUAGCCUAUAAUAUAAUUUAAAGAGGUUGUUAAUUUUGCAGAAAAUAGCUGUAAGGAUGAUUUCCCAUGUUCAUAGCCAGGCAUCCACUUUUUAAGCAAUUGAAAAAAUUGACUUUGCCUGAUGUUUAUGCGUUUGAACAUCUUUUAUACGGAAAACCUGUCUUGUAUUACAGUUAAUAGCUCUGAUCAUACUCAUUAUACUAGGCAUGCAUCAACACAAGGGUUUUACACUUUUUUCUCUUCAUUUUAUGUUGUGUUCAAUUUUCUAGUUUUUCGAAAUUUGAUUUAAACCUGACUAUGACUAUGAAUAGGCCCCGUUUCGGAAAGCCAAUUUUCCGACUCCAGCUGUUUUAAGUCUAGAACACAGCUAAAUC